rnacentral:rRNA from 1 species
GAUGAACGCUGGCGGUCUGCUUAACACAUGCAAGUCGAACGGAAGUAGCAAUACUUUAGUGGCGGACGGGUGAGUAACACGUAAGAAUCUGCCUCCGGGACGGGAAAAACAGUUGGAAACGACUGCUAAUUCCGGAUGAGCCGAAAGGUAAAAAGAAAUUCGCCUGGAGAUGAGCUUGCGGCUGAUUAGCUAGUUGGUAGGGUAAGAGCCUACCAAGGCGACGAUCAGUAGCUGGCCUGAGAGGAUGAGCAGCCACACUGGGACUGAGACACGGCCCAGACUCCUACGGGAGGCAGCAGUGGGGAAUUUUCCGCAAUGGGCGAAAGCCUGACGGAGCAAGACCGCGUGGGGGAGGAAGGUUCUUGGAUUGUCAACCCCUUUUCUCAGGGAAGAAGAUCUGACGGUACCUGAGGAAUCAGCAUCGGCUAACUCCGUGCCAGCAGCCGCGGUAACAC